AGGACGAACGCUGGCGGCGUGCCUAAUACAUGCAAGUCGAACGGGGUCCAUCCGGUGGCAACACCGGGGAAGACUAAGUGGCGAACGGGUGCGUAACACGUGAGCAACCUGCCCCGAAGACCGGAAUAACAGCGGGAAACCGCUGCUAAUACCGGAUGCCCCCACGAGCCCGCAUGGGUUUGUGAGGAAAGGAUUACCGCUUCGGGAGGGACUCGCGGCCUAUCAGCUUGUUGGUGGGGUAAUGGCCCACCAAGGCGACGACGGGUAGCUGGUCUGAGAGGACGAUCAGCCACACUGGGACUGAGACACGGCCCAGACUCCUACGGGAGGCAGC
rnacentral:rRNA from 1 species